rnacentral:rRNA from 1 species
AUGCAGAUCUUCGUCAAGACCCUCACGGGGAAGACCAUCACCCUCGAGGUCGAGAGCAGCGACACCGUCGACAACGUCAAGGCCAAAAUCCAGGACAAGGAAGGGAUUCCUCCGGACCAGCAGCGUUUGAUAUUUGCUGGCAAGCAGUUGGAGGAUGGACGCACGCUUGCUGACUACAACAUUCAGAAGGAGUCGACUCUUCACUUGGUCCUCAGGCUCAGGGGCGGCACGAUGAUCAAGGUCAAGACUCUCACUGGGAAGGAGAUCGAAAUCGACAUUGAGCCCACCGACACGAUUGACAGGAUCAAGGAGCGCGUUGAGGAGAAAGAAGGCAUUCCUCCUGUGCAGCAAAGGCUGAUUUACGCUGGUAAGCAGCUUGCAGAUGACAAGACUGCCAAGGACUACAACAUCGAAGGUGGCUCGGUCCUCCAUCUUGUCCUUGCUCUGAGGGGUGGUUACUAG